CGGAGAAGGCUAGGCCAGCUUGGCGUUGGUUGUCCAAGUUUAAGGUGGUAGGCUGGAAUCUUAGGUAAAUCCGGGAUUCUAAGGCCGAGAGCUGAUGACGAGUGUUCUUUUAGAACACGAAGUGGUUGAUGCCAUGCUUCCAAGAAAAGCUUCUAAGCUUCAGGUAACCAGGAACCGUACCCCAAACCGACACAGGUGGUUGGGUAGAGAAUACCAAGGCGCUUGAGAGAACUCGGGUGAAGGAACUAGGCAAAAUGGCACCGUAACUUCGGGAGAAGGUGCGCCGGUGAGGGUGAAGCAUUUACUGCGUAAGCCCAUGCCGGUCGAAGAUACCAGGCCGCUGCGACUGUUUAUUAAAAACACAGCACUCUGCAAACACGAAAGUGGACGUAUAGGGUGUGACGCCUCCCCGGUGCCGGAAGGUUAAUUGAUGGGGUUAGCUAACGCGAAGCUCUUGAUCGAAGCCCCGGUAAACGGCGGCCGUAACAAUAACGGUCCUAAGGUAGCGAAAUUCCUUGUCGGGUAAGUUCCGACCUGCACGAAUGGCGUAACGAUGGCGGCGCUGUCUCCACCCGAGACUCAGUGAAAUUGAAAUCGCUGUGAAGAUGCAGUGUAUCCGCGGCUAGACGGAAAGACCCCGUGAACCUUUACUAUAGCUUUGCACUGGACUUUGAAUUUGCUUGUGUAGGAUAGGUGGGAGGCUUUGAAGCGUGGACGCCAGUUCGCGUGGAGCCAACCUUGAAAUACCACCCUGGCAACUUUGAGGUUCUAACUCAGGUCCGUUAUCCGGAUCGAGGACAGUGUAUGGUGGGUAGUUUGACUGGGGCGGUCUCCUCCGAAAGAGUAACGGAGGAGUACGAAGGUGCGCUCAGACCGGUCGGAAAUCGGUCGUAGAGUAUAAAGGCAAAAGCGCGCUUGACUGCGAGACAGACACGUCGAGCAGGUACGAAAGUAGGUCUUAGUGAUCCGGUGGUUCUGUAUGGAAGGGCCAUCGCACAACGGAUAAAAGGUACUCCGGGGAUAACAGGCUGAUACCGCCCAAGAGUUCAUAUCGACGGCGGUGUUUGGCACCUCGAUGUCGGCUCAUCACAUCCUGGGGCUGAAGCCGGUCCCAAGGGUAUGGCUGUUCGCCAUUUAAAGUGGUACGCGAGCUGGGUUUAGAACGUCGUGAGACAGUUCGGUCCCUAUCUGCCGUGGACGUUUGAGAUUUGAGAGGGGCUGCUCCUAGUACGAGAGGACCGGAGUGGACGAACCUCUGGUGUUCCGGUUGUCACGCCAGUGGCAUUGCCGGGUAGCUAUGUUCGGAAUAGAUAACCGCUGAAAGCAUCUAAGCGGGAAACUAGCCUCAAGAUGAGAUCUCACUGGGACCUUGAGUCCCCUGAAGGGCCGUCGAAGACUACGACGUUGAUAGGUUGGGUGUGUAAGCGCUGUGAGGCGUUGAGCUAACCAAUACUAAUUGCCCGUGAGGCUUGACC
rnacentral:rRNA from 1 species